rnacentral:rRNA from 1 species
UACGAAGGGGGCUAGCGUUGCUCGGAAUUACUGGGCGUAAAGCGCGCGUAGGCGGACGUUUAAGUCAGGGGUGAAAUGCCGGGGCUCAACCUCGGAACUGCCUUUGAUACUGGACGUCUGGAGUUCGGGAGAGGUGAGUGGAAUUCCGAGUGUAGAGGUGAAAUUCGUAGAUAUUCGGAGGAACACCAGAAGCGAAGGCGGCUCACUGGCCCGAUACUGACGCUGAGGCGCGAAAGCGUGGGGAGCAAACAGG